GUUUCAUCUUUCUGCUCUUACUCAUCACUCUGUCAAUCAACGUAGAUGCACGACAUCUUCUAGAGGCAACAUUGCCUGAGCUUCCUAAACCUGAAUUACCUGAGCUGCCAUCACUUCCUAAGCUUGAGCUUCCACCAUUACCUGAAGUUCCAACCUUGCCUAAACCUGAAAUUCCCACUCUUCCAAAACCCGAAUUGCCUGAGUUGCCCAAGCCUGAAGUGCCCAAAUUGCCUGAAUUACCAAAACCUGAACUGCCAACUUUUCCCCGCUUGCCUGAGUUGCCAAAGCCCACAUUCCCUGCUAUUCCCACAAUUCCCAAGUACACCA
rnacentral:misc_RNA from 1 species